rnacentral:rRNA from 1 species
GUAGUCAUAUGCUUGUCUCGAAGAUUAAGCCAUGCAUGUCUAAGCACAAACCUUUACACGGUGGAGCUGCGAAUGGCUCAUUAGGCCACCCAUGAUUUAUUAGAUUGUACAAUCCUACUUGGAUAACUGUGGUAAUUCUAGAGCUAAUACAUGCAAGUAAGCUCCGACCCCUCCGGGAAAGAGCGCGUUUAUUAGAUCAAAACCAAUCGGGUCUUCGGAUCCGUACGUUUGGUGACUCUGGAUAACUUCGAGCUGAUCGCACGGCCUCGAGCUGGCGACGUAUCUUUCAAGUGUGUGCCCUAUCAACUGUCGAUGGUAAGUGAUAUGCUUACCAUGGUGGCAACGGGUAACGGGGAAUGGGGCGGGGGCGGCGGGCCGGGCGCGGGGCGCGGCGGGCG